UGAGGUAUUUACUUGCAGCCCAGCUGUCAGUUUAAAGAACAACUUGCAGGUUGAAAUUUUUACUGGAUUUACAGUUUAUGCAUCAUGAAAAUGAUCCUGUAAAAGGUUCAUGUAUGAUUUUAUUAGUUUAACGAGACAUAAAUGCAGAAAUUAAGAUGGAAAAGUUAGCAUUUUGAGCAGUGUCCUUAAAAUUACCUUUUUUAUUCAACAACACGUCAUAUUAUGCAACAGAAGGGAGUCGCUCCCCCUGUCACAGCUGCAGUACAACGUGUGGUACUAAGUACUUAUGAGUCUGAGCCAGUUUUGUUUUGCAUUUUAUAAUUUUUCAUCAUCGUGAAUAAUUGUGUCUGUGCAGGCUGCACAAAUUCCAGCCUGUCAGGACCUGAAAUCCACUUUCCUAGCAGGAAAAGCAGCAGCUAGUUUUCAUGCUGGUAGAGAGACAGACUUCACUGCUGUAACGGGAGAACACGGUUGUGUGCAGGCUCAUUUUAGACAGGAGGGUUAUGUUAUUUGUGAUAUGAUGAAAUUCAGAAUGGGAUGUCGAAGCCGGGACUGUGCGAGGCUGAUAGCUGGUGCGGUUCGUCCGGAACACACAGCUGCGUCAUCAGCUCCACUCACAGCAGCAGCUCAGUGCUGACUGGUGUCACAGUUUAACUGGUGGUGAAUUAACUGGUGAUAUUCCCCUGCAUGAGGCUGUGGUAGGUGACUGUGUUGAAGCCUGUUCAAAACACUGCAAACAACAGUAGCGUUAAGUAAUUUACAAAAUGUUCUUAUUGUCAGUCUUAUAUUUCGUCAUUAAUCCAAUGUAAAGUCGACUUGAGAACUGUUUAUACUUUCAUACAACCUAUAAGUGAAACACAGUGUGAGGUAUGUAUGUGUUCAGCUGGAACAUAGUGUGGAGUUAGCUGCUAGCUGUUGUAGCUGCAAUGUUAUCUACUACUGAUCAUGUUUUAUAUUGAAGGCUACAGGUAUUUAUCUCUCUCAUCACAAUGAUGUUCAUACACUAUUCGGCAUGCUCACUCAUCCAGAUCAGACAUGACUGUUUACUCUCAUUUUGCAAAUAGGGACAGAAAUUGGAUAACUACGCACAAGUGUAGAAACUAAAAGCAUGGAGGGGGUGGAAUCUAUGUAAGUUCGAUUGACAUGUCACAACUUUGUGGUUUUGUAAGGAGUUUUGAUAGAAAGCGAUUAAACAGCAAUUAGACAGUGAUAAGAGACAGUGGGACAUAGUUAUACUGAGUGAUAGUGAGUGAUAGUGUGUGACUGAGCACUGAUUGUGACUGAGUGAUUGUCCUUAUGAGUGAUAGUGGGUGAGUAAUUGAGAUGGACUUGUGUGUUUCUGAGAAAGGCUGUUAUUGUAGGAUUGUUGUGUGUCUAUGUAAUUAAGAGAAAAGCCGACAUCUUCAGGAUAAAGGGUAAGGAUGCAUGCCAUGUGGACUUUACAAAACAAUGAUCAGCUGUUGUUGUACAACUCCCAAUAAAUCUAAUAUUAUGACAUUGAAACACCAGAUGGAGGCCUGUAAUACAUCUGCAGGCGCAAGAGAAACAGGUCGGAGCACCUGGCAAAAGUUGUGUCGAGUGCAGAAGAUGCAAACUCCAUCUUUGAGGAGUUUCAUUGCAGUCAUUUUGGUGGACAUUGUGGAGUGAAGAAAACCCAGAGUGCUAUUAUCAUCUGGUACUAUUGGCCCGGCAUGGAGUAGGACAUUUACAACUGGAUUGCUCAGUGUCCACCAUGCCACUCCAAGAGAGCCAAUAUUAAAGAAAAGAGGGAGUAUAAUCCAAUACAGCUAAUCAUUUCAAGGUCAACUACAGCUUGUGUGAGAGUCUGGGCAUCAAAAGAAGCCUGUGCUCCCCCUACCAUCAACAGACCAAUGGCUUUGUGGAGAAAUUGAAUGGAAAAGUACAGAGGUGUUUUUUCGUUUUAAUACUUGAAUGGAUUCUAGCUCUCAUAGAAAAACAUGUACAGAUUUCCUUUUGUUAUCCGAACAUGUAAUCAGUAAUGAUACUUUCCUUAAAAAAAGAGGUUGCUUUAUCGUACCAGACAACCCAAAUUCUCUCCUGCCUCCUCAUGCCUUUACUUAAGUGGUGGCUGAUCAUCCCAAAAGG